UACAGAGGUCCCAAGCGUUGUUCGGAUUCACUGGGCGUAAAGGGUGCGUAGGUGGUGAGGUAAGUCGGAUGUGAAAUCUCCAAGCUCAACUUGGAAACUGCAUUGGAAACUACCUUGCUAGAGGAUUUGAGGGGGGAUUGGAAUACUUGGUGUAGCGGUGAAAUGCGUAGAUAUCGGAAGGAACACCAGUGGCGAAAGCGGCUUCCUGGUCCAGCACCGACGUUCAGGCACGAAAGCGUGGGGAGCAAACAGG
rnacentral:rRNA from 1 species